rnacentral:other from 1 species
UUACUCCUGCCGUGUUCGUGAAGCCGAGAGGGGUUUUGAGCCAAUACUUUAUAAGAGGGGACCUAGGUCCAAGGAUAAAAACGCGGUAGCUUUCGAGCAAGGCGGAAUUAUCCGGCAGGUGCCCACCUGCGUUCGCAGGGUCAAAACCAACGGUACACGGCACGGUGGGACCUGA